rnacentral:rRNA from 1 species
UACGUAGGUGGCAAGCGUUGUCCGGAUUACUGGGCGUAAAGAGCGCGCAGGCGGUCGUUCAAGUCGCGUGUGAAAGCCCCCGGCUCAACUGGGGAGGGUCACGCGAUACUGAUCGACUCGAAGGCAGGAGAGGGUAGUGGAAUUCCCGGUGUAGUGGUGAAAUGCGUAGAUAUCGGGAGGAACACCAGUGGCGAAGGCGACUACCUGGCCUGUUCUUGACGCUGAGGCGCGAAAGCUAGGGAGCGAACGGGAUAGAAACCGUGA